CAGCACGCGACACCUCCUGCGGCCUCUUCGGCGCCAGCUGCCGGGUGGUGCCGGAGGGCGCCGGGGUCCUGCGGUGCUGCCAGCCCCGCCUCGUCCGCCCCCCGCUGCCGCCUAAGGAGAGAGUCGUCUCUGGCCGAUACCACUUCCAGCCCGCUUCCUCCCUGAGGUGGCCCUAAGGAUCCGGCCCUGAGAAUGGCCAUCCCCCAGGACAGCCUCCACGAUGUCUGUGGCAGCAGAAAGGUGAGUCCAAUGUGGAGCCAAGCUUGAAAACCACUGGCCUGGAGCAGCAGCUCUUAAAAGUGAGAUCCCUAGGACAGAGCAUCAACUUCCCCGGAAAAGCAAAUUGUCCUUUUCAUUUUCAGUCCUUCGGAACCAGAAACUGGGGGCUGCGGCUCAGCCAGCUCUGCAGGUGAUUCUGCUGUAGCUCAAGUCGGAGAGCCCAUCUGAAAGCCCCUUUGAUGACAACAGGGCUCUGUCCUGUGGGGCUUGAUCUGCAAACUGGUGCUAGGAAAGCAAAUUAGCUGAAUUGCUUUGCAGUGAUGCAUCUUAAUGGCCAAACUGCCUGUCCUCUGGCGGUGGCAGUGUAAAUUAUGGAGGCGGCAAAUGCUGAGUACAGUGGCUUUUUCAGUCCCCCAAACAUCAAUCCGAUGUUUGAAGCAGUCUUGAAGGCCACGAUGGACACCUGGAGCAUAUUGGCCAUAGAACAAGUUAGGCCAGAAGAGCCAGACACGGAGCACAGGGGUCUGAGGACAUCAAGUUCCCUCAGGUCAGGCAUCCUGCAGCUGGAGGACCCAGCAGAAGGGGCUUGACGCCUGUGGGCAAGGAGGAAAUAGAAAGUGUGGCAGAAAGGAAACAGGGUCAGGGGGGCAGUAGGUCAGCCCAGGUCCUGGGACUCGGGCAGUGAAAAUUAGGGGUGUCUCCAGGGCUGGCUAGGUGAAGGGAGUCAGCCACUGCUUCUGUGGGGAGCUAAGCCCAGGGCAGGCUCUACAGACUGGAGGGGGCAGGUGUCAGAGGCAGAGAAGGAAGGCCGUACUUGUUUAGUUUUGCUUUGUUUUGUAUGGAAAAGCAAGUGGAGGUCAAGAGCAGAGCGGUGUUUCUCUGCAGCCGAGGAGGGUUGCAGUACUGGCCCACAAGCAUCGUCAGAUUUUCUUCUGUGGGCGUCUCACGGUCACAGGUUGGCUGGCUUCUGUGUCUGGGACGUGAGACUCUUCCGUCCUUGAGAGACGUCUGGAGGGAAGGUGGUAGGGGCUGUGCGUUAUUCACUUCUGUCCGCGUCCAGGAUUCACUCAGUUCCUGCCAAAUGCUGGGCCCUGAGCGACAGACUGUGUGUGGACUUGAAUCCAGGACAGAUAUGACAGAUCAUGGCUCCUAAAUAUGACUUACCACCUCAGGCCUUAAUGAACCACCGCAGCGAGAGCCCAGAGACGUUCCCCAUGCACAAGGGCCCUUGUCGCCCUGUAGAAUCAUUGCAGACGCUUUCUUUGCUGCCUCCCUUCCCCCUUCCUUGCACCAAGCCCCUCUCCCAUCAGCCUGGCCCAGCUCCCUCCUGGGGGCUGUGCACACUGUGGGGAAUAAUCAGAAAAGAAGGGAUUAAGGCAGCAAACAUCAACACCCAUGAGAUUCCCCUUAUCUGGGUUCCACUGUGAAUGACUGUGUGCUGGUGUGUACAACCACGAAUCCAAAGAGUUUAAUCCUGGUUCAUCUCUGAAAAGGUGAAGUAUUGCUUUAAGGCUAACAGUUGGGAAAAUGAUUUGUUUCUUCAAUGUCAAACCACACACACACACACACACACACACACACACACACAAAUGCUCUUCCGAUGAUGCAAUUUCCAUCCCUCCACUUUGGCUGUAAUAUUUAAAGACAAGUUUUAAAAGUCACUUUCCGUGCAUAAUUUUCUUCUGAUACACUACUUUGUCUAUUUCUUGUUCUUGAAUUAAAAUGGUUACUGUGCUUCCA